rnacentral:lncRNA from 1 species
UUGUUAUGAGCCUAUAGUCUUGCAACUGCCUGCAUCUAUUAAUUGACUCGUUUUUCACUUAAAUGCUUUUGUGCUCGUUUUUCACUUAAAUGCUUUUGUGCUGAUGCAUUUGUUGCAAGAUGGCUAAGUUCCUAAUAUUGUCGUUAAAACUUUCUAGGGAAACAUCAUUUGCCACUUAAACUGCAGUAUGUGGAUUUACCACAUUCCUAAGCAUGGGUAACUAAGUUAUUUGGGCUUACUUUUGUCUCGAUAUGCUUACUUUGAAAUUUGAGCAUUAAGGUUUGGCAAUAUAAGCCUGUUUUUAGUGAACAUUGCACAGAAGUGGUAAGAUUUAAAUAUCAGAUCAGAUGAGACUAUCCGGGAGAAGGUUGGGGUGACUUCAGUGGAGUGUAAGAUGCGGGAAGCACGAUUGAGAUGGUUCGGACACGUGAAGAGGAGGGGCAUGGAUGCCCCGGUCCGUAGGUGUGAGAGGCUAGCGUUGGAUGGUUUUAGACGGGGUAGGGGUAGACCGAAGAAGUACUGGGGUGAGGUGAUUAGGCGGGACAUGGAACAGUUACAGCUCACCGAGGACAUGACCCUAGAUAGGAAGGUCUGGAAGACGCGAAUUACGGCAGAGGAUUAGGGCCUGUUCGGGUCGCUAAUGUAGGGAGGUAAUUGGUGGGGGUGUAUUCCUGGUAUGAUUCCGUAUUCAAUGUUCUGUUCCGUGUUCCGUGUUCUAUGUUUGUUACGAAUCUGUGUGCUUUCCUCUGCUUUAUAUUCCUGCAUCCCUGCUUUACUCUGUUUUAUAUUCCUUAUGGCUGCAGUAUCUAUGUUAUGUCAUCUGCUUCUGUGCUGUACUAUGUGUUUGUUUGAUAUCUCGUAACUUGAGCCGGGGGUCUUUCGGAAACAGCCUUUCUACUUCAUCAGAGGUAGAGGUAUGGACUGCGUACAUCUUACCCCCCCCAGACCCCACAAAGUGGGAAUACACUGGGUUUGUUGUUGAUGUCAUGUAUUCAACAAAGAUGCCUGUUUAUAUGGAUGCAUCAUGUCACUUACAUUGAUAAGCCAUGGUACAUGAAGUCAAGUCUAAGGACAGCAUUAUUGAUGAGAGUGCUGCAAUAUGUUUGCCUCAUUCCAAUCAGAUUGAAGGAAAGAAGUAGAAGGAAAAACUAAUCUCUAUUGCAUGACUUGAACUGCCUGUUAGAUUUUUGUUUUCCUCGUACAAACAGAAAUAUAUUAAAAGUCCCUUGGUAAUGCAGUGCG